rnacentral:tRNA from 1 species
GAGGGUAUAGCUCAGUAGUAGAGUGCAUGCCUAGUGUGCAUGAAGUCCUGGGUUCAAUUCCCAGUACCUUCA